rnacentral:rRNA from 1 species
UACGGGGGGGGUAAGCGUUGUUCGGAAUUACUGGGCGUAAAGGGCUCGUAGGCGGCCAACUAAGUCAUACGUGAAAUCCCUCAGCUUAACUGGGGAACUGCGUGUGAUACUGGAUGGCUUGGAUUUGGGAGAGGGAUGCGGAAUUCCAGGUGUAGCGGUGAAAUGCGUAGAUAUCAUUUGGAACGCCAAUGGUGAAAACAGGUUGCUGGGGGUGUGCUGACGCUGAGACACGAAAGCCAGGGGAGCGAACGGG